AUUAAGAACCUGAAAAAGUAGACAGCACAACAUGGUAUAUUAGUCCAAGCUAAAUUUAAAAGGGAAAGUAGAAGGUAUUUAAAAGAUAAACAAUGACAACAAUGCCUCUUUUAAUGCAGUGCUGAAAAUCUAUAGUUAUAAACUAAUGCUACAGGGCAAAGAUGAGAUCUUCAAAGCUUAUUUAACACCAUGGAUUUUUCGCUUUGCUUCCUUCUUCCAACCCCAAAAACUCCAAUGCUUUUGAAGCAACCUCACAAUGCAAAAGGAGAUGAUUAAUAGACUCAUCCACUUUUUUCAAAUGCAACACCAAUUGGGGAGCACCUUUGGCCCCCACUUAUCAGUAGUCAGUAUCACUUCCAAAGCUACAGUCAUGUUAAGACACCUCAGCUGCUAGAUGAUCUUGCAAGGGAAGACAAUGUGUGGCCUGGGGCAAGCAAAGAAGCUUAUAAUAUGACCUCACUGCAAAUUUUCUGGUCCUGUUGCCCCUCCAUGAUACAACAUCCACAUUGUCACCAAGGACACCAUUAGAUAAUGGGUUUCAUGGUGGUUCAAGUUAAAGAAAUCUUGUGGGUUUAUUUAAUUUUUUAUUUUUUAUUUUUUUGUGGAUAAGAGUAGGAGGAAUGCUGCAAGGUUAUACGAAUAUGGAUUAGAAUUUGCUUGCUUGCAGAUGUGUCAAAUUGCAGGACUUUCAAAAACCCAAAUCAAAGUUGUAUGACUUUUGGCAACAAGGAAACAGGUUCAAGUCAAAGUGUUGAAUCUUGAAAUUGUCAACUAGCAAGAUGAUUGGAGAGAGUUCAAAAAAAGCUGAGAAAAUAAUUAGAAAGGAGCGUGAAGCUAUAAUUGCUGCGAUAAUGGAUGAAAGAAGAAAUACAUCAUUCAGAAUUUUAGAUGAGUGUUCUACUUCUCCACAUGUUGAAUCACAUGAUAUGGAAGGAGUUGUAGACUCCACUCAAGUACCAAAGAAGAAAACUAGGGGGGCAUCAAAGUUAAAGAUGCAUGACAAAGGAAAACAAAAGUGCGAUGAAAUUGACUUCAAUGAAAGGAAUCAGCCUGUGUUGAGUCAGUUAAAUCAGCUUGAAAUUGAUUUCGUAACAUCAAUUGUGGUUGCAUAGCUGUGUAAUGAGUGUUCUUCACACGUCAUAUGUAAUAUAUUUAUGACUGCAUGUAUGCUUGUGUUUUUAUGUAUGUUUAUGUAGUAUAAAUUAGAUCUUGCAGAAAUGAAAUUAUAAACUGCAUUGUUGAUUUGCAAAGCUUCAGUUUCUCGUAGCUUCAGCUCCUCGGACAAAAGCUCUGCAAAGUUCUUUUCUGUGUCUUCACUCACUUCAGGAUCAUGCUUCGCACAAUCUGCAUGAAAAUAUGGCCAAACAUAACAAAGAAAUGACGAAAUUCUUAAAAGUCAAACACCUGUAUUACACUGCACUUUUGUUUCAUACACAGAUUCAUGAUAGUUAGGAGUCCUAGAUCUCGGAACAAGCAGGUUGGAAAAUUGGGCAGAGAUGUAACUGAAGAAAUUGAUAUGAUCUAGGAUUACUCACAUCAAAUUGUA